GUGAUAGACAAAAACGCAAAAAGAAUAAGGGUAUUUGAUUGAUUUACCCUUUUCCCACAAAGCCUUAUAAGAGGCUCAAUUUUGUUGUAAUUUAGUUCCAAAUAUCCUAACUCAAAAAUAGUAAAAGUAUUAGAAUUGUUAUUCCCUUUAAACCCUGUAGGACCUAAAGUUAGUAUUUUUCAUUACAAAAUCAAAUUUGACUUAUUGAAGUUAUCAUUUCGUAUUCCUUCAAAGUCUCUUGUCUCUU
rnacentral:lncRNA from 1 species